GACGGUUUUGGAGGCGCGUUGGCCAGAC
rnacentral:sRNA from 1 species